UACGUAGGGUGCGAGCGUUGUCCGGAAUUAUUGGGCGUAAAGAGCUCGUAGGCGGUGUGUCACGUCGGCCGUGAAAACCUGGGGCUUAACUCUGGGCGUGCGGUCGAUACGGGCAUCACUAGAGUUCGGCAGGGGAGACUGGGAAUUCCUGGUGUAGCGGUGAAAUGCGCAGAUAUCAGGAGGAACACCGGUGGCGAAGGGCGGGGAUCUC
rnacentral:rRNA from 1 species